rnacentral:rRNA from 1 species
AGGAUGAACGCUGGCGGAAUGCCUAAUACAUGCAAGUCGAGCGGCAGCGCGAGUAGUUUACUACUUGGCGGCGAGCGGCGGACGGCUGAGUAACGCGUGGGAACGUACCCCAAAGUGAGGAAUAACUGCCCGAAAGGGUAGCUAAUGCCGCAUAUGAUCUUCGGAUUAAAGGAUUUAUCCGCUUUGGGAGCGGCCCGCGUACGAUUAGAUAGUUGGUGAGGUAAAGGCUCACCAAGUCGACGAUCGUUAACUGAUCUGAGAGGAUGAUCAGUCAGACUGGAACUGAGACACGGUCCAGACUCCUACGGGAGGCAGCAGUAAGGAAUCUUCCACAAUGGACGAAAAGUCUGAUGGAGCAAUUCGCGUGCAGGAUGAAGGCCCUCGGGUUGUAAACUGCUUUUAUUGUGAAGAAUAUGACGGUAAACAAAUGAAUAAAGGUCGGACUAACUACGUAGCCAGCAGCCGCGGU